rnacentral:rRNA from 1 species
UACGUAGGUGGCAAGCGUUGUCCGGAUUUAUUGGGUUUAAAGGGUGCGUAGGCGGCCUAUUAAGUCAGUGCUGAAAUCUCCCGGCUUAACCGGGAGGGUGGCAUUGAUACUGCAGGGCUUGAGUGAAGUCGAGGUAGGCGGAAUUGACGGUGUAGCGGUGAAAUGCUUAGAUAUCGUCAAGAACACCGAUAGUGAAGACAGCUUACUAGGCUUAUACUGACGCUGAGGCGCGAAAGCGUGGGGAGCAAACAGG